GCGAGUCGCGCGAGAUUGUAGCAUACAAGGACAGCGGCGAAAGGGAGAGGAUUCAUGGGAAUCUGCCCUGGGGACGAGGAUAGCGUCGGGAAACUGACGGUAAUACUCGAUAAUGUUUGCGGACCAAAGGUGAGAUUCCGCCCCAGGAUGAGCCCAUGCCCCAUUAGCUAGUUGGCAGGGUAAUGGCCUACCAAGGCUAUGAUGGGUAGCUGGUGUGAGAGCAUGACCAGCCUCACUGGCACUGAGACACUGGCCAGACACCUACGGGUGGCUGCAGUCGAGAAUCUUCGGCAAUGGACGAAAGUCUGACCGAGCGACGCCGCGUGCGGGAUGAAGGCCUUCGGGUUGUAAACCGCUGUCGUAGGGGAUCAAAUUUACGAGGGUUCUCCCUUGUAUUUGAGAGAUCCUAGGAGGAAGGAGAGGCUAAGCUCGUGCCAGCAGCCGCGGUAAGACGAGCUCUCCAAACGUUAUUCGGUUUCACUGGGCUUAGAGAGUUCGUAAGCGGCUUUGUAGGUGAGGUGUGAAAGCCCUCGGCUUAACCGAGGAACUGCGCUUCAAACCGCGAGGCUAGAGGGAUAUAGGGGUAAGCG
rnacentral:rRNA from 1 species